rnacentral:rRNA from 1 species
GAUGAGCGCUGGCGGUAUGCCUAACACAUGCAAGUCGUACGCCUCACUUCGGUGAGGAGUGGCGGACGGGUGAGUAACACGUUAGUACCUGCCCCAAAGUGGGGAAUAACUGCCCGAAAGGGUAGCUAAUACCCCAUAGUCUCCGGUUUAUCCGGAGUAAAGAUUUAUCGCUUUGGGAGGGGCUUGCGUUUGAUUAGCUAGUUGGUGAGGGUAAUGGCCCACCAAGGCGACGAUCAAUAGCUGGAUCGAGAGGUUGACCAGCCACACUGGGACUGAGAUACGGCCCAGACUCCUACGGGAGGCAGCAGUGAGGAAUCUUGGACAAUGGGCGCAAGCCUGAUCCAGCCAUGCCGCGUGGAUGAUGAAGGCCUUAGGGUUGUAAAAUCCUUUCAACGGGGACGAUAAUGACGGUACCCGUAGAAGAAGCCCCGGCUAACUUCGUG